UACGUAGGGGGCAAGCGUUGUCCGGAAUUAUUGGGCGUAAAGAGCGCGUAGGCGGUCCGAUAAGUCGGCUGUGAAAGUCCAGGGCUCAACCCUGGAAAGCCGGCCGAUACUGUCGGACUAGAGUCCGGAAGAGGCAAGUGGAAUUCCCGGUGUAGCGGUGAAAUGCGCAGAUAUCGGGAGGAACACCCGUGGCGAAAGCGGCUCUCUGGGACGGUACUGACGCUGAGACGCGAAAGCGUGGGGAGCAAACAGG
rnacentral:rRNA from 1 species